AAGAACUUAGUUAAAAAAUAACAUUAGAUUGUCAAACUAAAAUUAUUAUAAAAAUAGAUCUUG
rnacentral:tRNA from 1 species